GGUCUAUUAACUCAGUUGGUUAGAGCGUUAUGCUAGUAACUUGAAAAUCACAGAUUUAAUUCUUGUUUGAACCA
rnacentral:tRNA from 1 species